rnacentral:lncRNA from 1 species
CCAGUUUUUUCUGCUGAGGAACAAAAACCAACAAGUAAAAGGGCUGAAGUGAGGAAAAGACUGAGCAGGGGAGGGAGAGAAGGACUUUAGUCCCUACAUAUAGAGAGGCAGCUUCUUACACUCCUUCUUUUCAAAGGGGGGAAAGUGCACCAAGAUAUUUAUGACCUAGAUCACUUUUAGAGAAAUACUGAAUGACUAUUACUCAUGGGUACACACCUUGACAAGAAUGCAAAACUAAGGUUACCAUACUAGCUUCCUUCAGAAAAUUAUGCACUAAAAUAUUCCUAAAUAAUCAAGCAUUAGCUUAACUAAAAAAAUACAUAUCAAAAGGGGAAAACUGACAAAUCAGUAAAUGGAAAAUUUUAAAAUUAAGCCAGAAGUCAGUAUGGUUAUCAGUCACUAGCCUAAGUAGAAUGUCCUAAUGACUUACUGUGUAUCUUUACUUUAAUAAAUUCAGGCUUGUCAUUAUAUUGAUACUAUUUUAAGCACUAUGCCUAAAAAGAAUGAUAAUAUGGGAAAUCCUCAAUCUGUUAUUUCACUAGUUUGAAAUCUACACCUAUUUUAUAUUUGCUGAUCCAGAAAGCAGGUAACAUCAAGAUAACCAUGAAACUAGUAUAUAUAAUAGAGAACUGAAGAAGUUAUGUCACAUGGAAAGGAGGAAUAAUGACAAUAAAACAAGUGAUCUUGAAUGGUAUUUGAUUAAAGCAGGAAAAUGCAGAAAGUAAUUAGCAAAUUUAUGCAAUACAUAAAAGCAGAGACAGAAACAUACAUAGCAGGUCCAAUGAAAGCAAUAACUUUAGCUGUUAACCAGAGAGUAUUACUCAACCUGCAAGUACAGAAGCUGACAGCCAAGUGUAUUUUUAGGAGUUUAUGUACAGGAAUGAAAACACUGAAUACAGUUGAAAGAAAUAGUACCAAUUAUGAAUAUUACAUCCAUUCUUUGGGUAUAAUUUGCCCCCUUCCCCCUAAAGUCUACAGGGAUUUCAGAGUACAUUUUAGUCGAAGUACAGGUCCACAGUCGAGCAAUUUACUAUUUAUGACAAUAAAGCAUGUUGAGGCAUGA